GAUGAACGCUGGCGGCGCGCCUAAUACAUGCAAGUCGAGCGAAUGGAUUAAGAGCUUGCUCUUAUGAAGUUAGGGGCGGACGGGUGUGUAACACGUGGGUAACCUGCCCAUAAGACUGGGAUAACUCCGGGAAACCGGGGCUGAUACCGGAUAACAUUUUUAACCGCAUGGUUCGAACUUGAAUGGCGGCUCCGGCUGUCACUUAUGGAUGGAGCCGCGUCGCAUUAGCUAGUUGGUGAGGUAACGGCUCAACAAGGCAACGAUGCGUAGCCGACCUGGGAGGGUGGUCGGCCACACUGGGACUGAGACACGGCCCAGACUCCUACGGGAGGCAGCAGUAGGGAAUCUUCCGCAAUGGACGAAAGUCUGACGGAGCAACGCCGCGUGAGUGAUGAAGGCUUUCGGGUCGUAAAACUCUGUUGUUAGGGAAGAACAAGUGCUAGUUGAAUAAGCUGGCACCUUGACGGUACCUAACCAGAAAGCCACGGCUAACUACGUGCCAGCCGCCGCCGUAA
rnacentral:rRNA from 1 species